rnacentral:rRNA from 1 species
AUAUCAAUAAGCGGAGGAAAAGAAACCAACAGGGAUUGCCUCAGUAACGGCGAGUGAAGCGGCAACAGCUCAAAUUUGAAAUCUGGCCUUCGAGUCCGAGUUGUAAUUUGCAGAGGAUGCUUCUGGGUGAAGUCGACCGGUCCUAAGUUCCCUUGGAACAGGACGUCAUGAGAGGGUGAGAAUCCCCGUAUGUGCCGGCCGGCGACGCUCCCCGCGUGAAGCCCCUUCGACGAGUCGAGUUGUUUGGGAAUGCAGCUCUAAAUGGUGGUAAAUUCCAUCUAAAGCUAAAUACCGGCCAGAGACCGAUAGCGCACAAGUAGAGUGAUCGAAAGAUGAAAAGCACUUUGGAAAAGAGAGUUCAAAAAGCAC